rnacentral:lncRNA from 1 species
CAACAACAUAUUUUGAGAGAGACAGAGAGAGAGAGAGAGAGAGAGAUGAAGAGAUAGAAAGAGACUAUAGUCACAUAACUUUGAUUACAGUAUAUUGUUUUAAUUGUCCUAUUUUAUUAUUAGUUAUUGUUAUUAACCCUUACUGUGCCAAAUUUAAAAAUUAAAAUUUAUCAUAGGUAUACAUGUAUUAUGUUUGAAAAAUUCAGUAUGGAAAGGAUUUGGUACUUUUUGUAUUUCCAGGCAUCCAUUGCAGGUUUUAGAAUAUAUCAUCCAUGGAUAAGUGUGGAUUAUUAUACUAUUAUUUGAGCUUAUUCUCCUCCAUCAUAUCACAAAAGAACAUCUGAUACUUUGAAGAAAUCUAGAAAUAUUUAAAUUUCUGCAGCACUCCCAUCAACAACAGUUUAAAUACUCUUUUAGAAAAGAAAAGAAAGAAUAGGAGUGCUAGAUUGCUUUUUAAUAAUUCCACAAAGAAAGCAAAAUGUAAAUCUUUGUGUUUCUAAGAUAUGCAAACCAUCUGUUUGUAUAUUAGGUUUUUUUUUCCCAGAAGCAUUCAUUUGUAGGAUGAUAUUCGUGAUCAAAAUAUAUGGUAUUUUGAGCUCUUUGAGCAUAAUGAAUAUAUCCUUGCUAGUGAAUUUCCUUUGGGGACUAAAAGGAACACUUUAGGAAGCCUUACUAAUUCUCAAGGUCUGUUGGAGCACUACUCUUGAAAUUGCUUCUAAGAUGUUCAGGAAUAAAGAACCUUAAUGACUUUGAGUAGUAAUUCACAGAAUGGUACCUCAGUGAUCCCUGGGUGUUUGACUUGCAGACAGGGCAGACCUCACUGUCUAAGAAUCAAGCAUCAGGAUUUCUAGACCAGAUUGUCAUUAACUGGCUGUGUGACUCUGGGCAUACCAUUAAUUUUCCUAGUUCUCAGGUUCUACAUCUGAAAAAUAGGAUGAUUAGAUCACAUUAUCCCCAAAAGUCCCUUCCUGCUCUAAAAAGUCAUGAUUCAAACAAGAGACUCAAUCUCAAUAGACAGCAAAAUUGAAAGAUUACCUGACAAUGCUGUAUGCAUGUGAAUGUGUG